UGGUGGGCAUAAGCAGGAAGUUUACAACUUGUGGCGUGCUACAACUUGAAUCCUGUUUUUUUUAAAGCCUGUAUGUAUGUAUACUUUGGAAAAUGGCAUCAUUAAAAGUAUGCUGAAUUAGCUAUAGGUGUGUUCUGGAGUUAUACAGAGAGUUUGUUUCUAUGGCUUUAAGGACAUUAACUCACGAGGGACAUAGAUGGACAACGUACAUCUGAGUCACCAAAAAAAGGAGCCAAAGGGAUUAAUACACUGAGCAGCCAUUCAAAAACCAGCCUGAAACAGUGUUGAGCUUUGGACUGUGUUCACGGUGACCAUCUGCAAGCUGCUGCGCCCCAAGAACUGAGGCUCACUGGUCUAGAGGCAUGAUGGCAAAGCUGUUUGAUGCUGGCCCCAGAAUAAACAAAUCAUUUGACUGGACAGUCAUCAUAAAGGCAGUGAUUGAUGCCUGCUUAGUUUUUUUGCUUCUGUAUUGUUUGUUGUUUUGCAGCUCGAGUCUUACUGGGUUCACUGUUGACUUGCUUUCACAGUGAGGUCUGGAGCGGUGACUGUGUCCACUAUUUGCCUUAAACUUUUACUUCUCUUUAUCAAUAUCCUGUUAGUGCCAGUGAGUCGUUGUGCAUGGGCUGCCAUUUGUGUGCCUAUAUUAUUGAUUCCAACAUUCUUCUCUCUGUGUCAGGAUUAAUUAGGGGUAGAACUAGAUAAGUACUACGUCCUUCUACUCCCUUGCAAGCAUGUAAUGACUAAGCAUCAUCAAGAGAAAUUUCUAUUUUUUGGUUGUAUAUGGUAAUUGGUUUGGUUGUUUUGUGUUACAUGUU